rnacentral:rRNA from 1 species
GCCCUUCGGCCCCGCCGCGCCCCGCGCCCUACGGGAGGCAGCAGUGGGGAAUUUUGGACAAUGGGGGAAACCCUGAUCCAGCAACGCCGCGUGGGGGAUGAAGGUCUUCGGAUCGUAAACCCCUGUCGAAUGGGACGAAUAGCCUUCGGAUUAAUACCCCGGGGGAAUGACGGUACCGUUAAAGGAAGCCACGGCUAACUCUGUGCCAGCAGCCGCGGUAAUACAGAGGUGGCAAGCGUUGUUCGGAAUUACUGGGCGUAAAGGGCGCGUAGGCGGCCAUCUAAGUCAGACGUGAAAUCCCCCGGCUCAACCUGGGAACUGCGUCUGAUACUGGAAGGCUCGAGUUUGGGAGAGGGAUGUAGAAUUCCAGGUGUAGCGGUGAAAUGCGUAGAUAUCUGGAGGAAUACCGGUGGCGAAGGCGGCAUCCUGGACCAAUACUGACGCUGAGGCGCGAAAGCUAGGGGAGCAAACGGGAUUAGAUACCCCGGUAGUCCUGGCCCUAAACGAUGAAUACUUGGUGUCUGGGGUUUCAAGACCCUGGGUGCCGUCGCUAACGCUUUAAGUAUUCCGCCUGGGGAGUACGCUCGCAAGAGUGAAACUCAAAGGAAUUGACGGAAGGGC